rnacentral:rRNA from 1 species
GACGGUGAGAGGUGAAAGCUGGGGGAGCAAACCGGAUUAGAUACCCGGGUAGUCCCAGCUGUAAACUAUGCAAACUCAGUGAUGCAUUGGCUUGUGGCCAAUGCAGUGCUGCAGGGAAGCCGUUAAGUUUGCCGCCUGGGAAGUACGUACGCAAGUAUGAAACUUAAAGGAAUUGGCGGGGGAGCACCACAAGGGGUGAAGCCUGCGGUUCAAUUGGAGUCAACGCCAGAAAUCUUACCCGGAGAGACAGCAGAAUGAAGGUCAAGCUGAAGACUUUACCAGACAAGCUGAGAGGUGGUGCAUGGCCGUCGCCAGCUCGUGCCGUGAGAUGUCCUGUUAAGUCAGGUAACGAGCGAGAUCCCUGCCUCUAGUUGCCACCAUUACUCUCAGGAGUAGUGGGGCGAAUUAGCGGGACCGCCGCAGUUAAUGCGGAGGAAGGAAGGGGCCACGGCAGGUCAGUAUGCCCCGAAACUCUGGGGCCACACGCGGGCUGCAAUGGUAACGACAAUUGGUUUCGAAUCCGAAAGGAUGAGGUAAUCCUCAAACGUUACCACAGUUAUGACUGAGGGCUGCAACUCGCCCUCACGAAUAUGGAAUCCCUAGUAACUGCGUGUCAUUAUCGCGCGGUGAAUACGUCCCUGCUCCUUGCACACACCGCCCGU